CGCGGCCUAUCAGCUUGUUGGUGAGGUAGUGGCUCACCAAGGCGACGACGGGUAGCCGGCCUGAGAGGGCGACCGGCCACACUGGGACUGAGACACGGCCCAGACUCCUACGGGAGGCAGCAGUGGGGAAUAUUGCACAAUGGGCGGAAGCCUGAUGCAGCGACGCCGCGUGAGGGAUGACGGCCUUCGGGUUGUAAACCUCUUUCAGCAGGGAAGAAGCGAGAGUGACGGUACCUGCAGAAGAAGCGCCGGCUAACUACGUGCCAGCAGCCGCGGUAAUACGUAGGGCGCAAGCGUUGUCCGGAAUUAUUGGGCGUAAAGAGCUCGUAGGCGGCUUGUCGCGUCGGUUGUGAAAGCCCGGAGCUCAACUCCGGGUCUGCAGUCGAUACGGGCAGGCUAGAGUGUGGUAGGGGAGAUCGGAAUUCCUGGUGUAGCGGUGAAAUGCGCAGAUAUCAGGAGGAACACCGGUGGCGAAGGCGGAUCUCUGGGCCAUUACUGACGCUGAGGAGCGAAAGCGUGGGGAGCGAACAGGAUUAGAUACCCUGGUAGUCCACGCCGUAAACGGUGGGCACUAGGUGUUGGCGACAUUCCACGUCGUCGGUGCCGCAGCUAACGCAUUAAGUGCCCCGCCUGGGGAGUACGG
rnacentral:rRNA from 1 species